rnacentral:misc_RNA from 1 species
AAGCCCUCAUAUAGACAUUUGAUUAUUAGUUCCUUUUUGAUAUGAGACUUGAGACAAUAAAUAGAUCCCCAUAUAGGUUCUUAGCAACAAUCCUUGCCUGAAGUUUAAUUGACCAACAUUCACUCCCUGCCACGAGUAAUAUAGAAUUUACAAGAAUCAGGCUGAACAAUUGAAUUGACUAUGCGACUCUACAAGGAUUGGACUAAAACAGAGGUGCAGUUGUCCACGACUCUAUAGACUUAA